GUCUGUUGUAAACGGCGGCGUUAACGUGAGCGUCCUAAGGUAGCGCGAUAAUUUGCUUUUCAAUUGAAGGAUGGUAUGAAAGGGUUAACGAAGAAGGUGCUGUGUCUAAAAAUUCAAUUUAAACUAACUUUAAGGUGAAGAGGCCUUUAUGUAAAAGAAGGACGACAAGACCCUAUGAAGCUUUAUCUUAAUUGGAGCUCUCAGGCUCUUAUACGAUUUUGAUGGGAGAUCAGUAGAAAUAAGUCUUCUACUAUCAUAUUAAUCUUACUAGUAUUUCCUAACUUUAUAUGUGUGGCUAGCUACUCUAGGGAUAACAGCGCAAUUUCUCCCGAAAGAUGGUAUUGGAGGGGAAGAUUGCGACCUCGAUGUUGGCUUUAGAUAUCCUAGAGGCGUAGAAGCUUCU
rnacentral:rRNA from 1 species